rnacentral:rRNA from 1 species
GACGAACGCUGGCGGCGUGCUUAACACAUGCAAGUCGAACGAUGAAGCGGUGCUUGCACCGUGGAUUAGUGGCGAACGGGUGAGUAAUGCGUGAGUGACCUACCUUUGACUCUGGGAUAAGCCUGGGAAACUGGGUCUAAUACCGGAUACGACCAAUCUCUGCAUGGGGUGUUGGUGGAAAGCGUUAUGGAGUGGUUUUAGAUGGGCUCACGGCCUAUCAGCUUGUUGGUGAGGUAAUGGCUUACCAAGGCGACGACGGGUAGCCGGCCUGAGAGGGUGACCGGCCACACUGGGACUGAGACACGGCCCAGACUCCUACGGGAGGCAGCAGUGGGGAAUAUUGCACAAUGGGCGCAAGCCUGAUGCAGCGACGCCGCGUGAGGGAUGACGGCCUUCGGGUUGUAAACCUCUGUUAGCAUCGAAGAAGCGAAAGUGACGGUAGGUGCAGAGAAAGCGCCGGCUAACUACGUG